AAUAGUGCGCAAUGGAGGGAACUCUGACGCAGCGACGCCGCGUGAGCGAUGAAGGUCUUCGGAUCGUAAAGCUCUGUCCUUGGGGAAGAAGGUCUUCGGACUUGACGGUACCUACGGAGGCAGCCCCGCCUAACUACGUGCCAGCAGCUGCGGUAAUACGUAGGGGGCAAGCGUUGUCCGGAAUUAUUGGGCGUAAAGGGUGCGUUGGCGGCCUUUUAAGUCAGCUGUGAAAGCCCACGGCUUAACCGUGGGACUGCAUUUGAAACUGGAGGGCUUGAGUCUCGGAGAGGGUAGUGGAAUUCCCAGUGUAGCGGUGGAAUGCGUAGAUAUUGGGGGGAACACCAGUGGCGAAGGCGACCACCUGGACGAAAACUGACGCUGAGGCACGAAAGCUAGGGGAGCAAACA
rnacentral:rRNA from 1 species